rnacentral:rRNA from 1 species
UUGACGGGACCGCACAAGCGGUGGAUGAUGUGGUUAAUUCGAUGCAACGCGAAAACCUUACCACCUUUGACAUGUACGGAACCUUUAGAGAUAGAGGGUGCUCGAAAGAGAGCCGUAACACAGGUGCUGCAUGGCUGUCGUCAGCUCGUGUCGUGAGAUGUUGGUUAAGUCCCGCAACGAGCGCAACCCUUGUCAUUAGUUGCUACAUUCAGUUGGGCACUCUAAUGAGACUGCCGGUGACAAGCCGGAGGAAGGUGGGGAUGACGUCAAGUCCUCAUGGCCCUUAUAGGUGGGGCUACACACGUCAUACAAUGGCUGGUACAAAGGGUUGCCAACCCGCGAGGGGGAGCCAAUCCCAUAAAGCCAGUCGUAGUCCGGAUCGUAGUCUGCAACUCGACUACGUGAAGUCGGAAUCGCUAGUAAUCGCAGAUCAGCACGCUGCGGUGAAUACGUUCCCGGGCCUU